rnacentral:rRNA from 1 species
GAUGAACGCUGGCGGCGUGCCUAAUACAUGCCAGUCGAGCGAACAGAUGAGGAGCUUGCUCCUCUGACGUUAGCGGCGGACGGGUGAGUAACACGUGGAUAACCUACCUAUAAGACGGGGAUAACUUCGGGAAACCGGAGCUAAUACCGGAUAAUAUAUUGAACCGCAUGGUUCAAUAGUGAAAGACGGUUUUGCUGUCACUUAUAGAUGGAUCCGCGCCGCAUUAGCUAGUUGGUAAGGUAACGGCUUACCAAGGCAACGAUGCGUAGCCGACCUGAGAGGGUGAUCGCCCACACUGGAACUGAGACACGGUCCAGACUCCUACGGGAGGCAGCAGUAGGGAAUCUUCCGCAAUGGGCGAAAGCCUGACGGAGCAACGCCGCGUGAGUGAUGAAGGUCUUCGGAUCGUAAAACUCUGUUAUUAGGGAAGAACAAAUGUGUAAGUAACUAUGCACGUCUUGACGGUACCUAAUCAGAAAGCCACGGCUAACUACGUG